rnacentral:rRNA from 1 species
UCUUGCGCAAUGGGCGAAAGCCUGACGCAGCAACGCCGCGUGCGGGAUGAAGGCCCUAGGGUUGUAAACCGCUUUCAGUAGGAACGAAAAUGACGGUACCUGCAGAAGAAGGUGCGGCCAACUACGUGCCAGCAGCCGCGGUGACACGUAGGCACCAAGCGUUGUCCGGAUUUAUUGGGCGUAAAGAGCUCGUAGGCGGUUUAGUAAGUCGGGUGUGAAAACUCUGGGCUUAACCCAGAGCCGCCACUCGAUACUGCUGUGACUUGAGUUCGGUAGGGGAGCAGGGAAUUCCUAGUGUAGCGGUGAAAUGCGCAGAUAUUAGGAGGAACACCGGUGGCGAAGGCGCUGCUCUGGGCCGAUACUGACGCUGAGAGCGAAAG